GGAGGAGCCCAGAGCCUUAAGGGUCGCCUUCUGCAAAAAAGAAAGCAGCAAGAUGAUAGUCUCCCGUUUGGGAAUUUGUGUUUGGGAAUUUGUCCUAGGUGCAAACCAGAGCUCGACCGAUACAGCGGCGGGAGGGGGUGGGAUGGGGGGAGCUGGUCGCAACCCUUCUCCUCAUAGGAAUGCUUCACUCAGCGGAAACCACAGCCAAUCCAAAUGUGGAGUUGUGGAGCCCUGUCCCAAAUGGAUACAUCUACAAAGGACUCUCAUAGGAUCCCAGCAUUAAGUCCAAAUGAAUGGGAUCAGACCAAGAAGACAGGAAGGAACAACUGGACCUGGUGCUUUCUCUUUAUUCUGUCUUCUGUGGAUGAGAGGAAACCAUAUGGACUAGCCAGCCACAGGUCCUACCUCCACCUGUUAGGACUACAGAAUGCUUAAUCAGCGUGAACCCUGACCUUUAGUUAGCCCUACAAUACCAAGGAAGCCUCAAAGCAUCAGAGGAAAGCUAAGGACUGUCCACCAAGAUGGAGUGGCUGCUGCUCUACAGAAUUUUCAGAAGACAUAAAACACAUCACAGUGGCUCAGUGUCCUCCUCUGCAAUGCAUGCCUCACCAGACAUGGAGGAUCUCACUGGGUGUCCCAGGAUGGUCUUGAACUUGCAACCAUUUCAUCUCAGCCUCCCAAGUGCUGGGAUUGCAGGUGUGCCACUAGACCCUGCUUAGCAUGAUGUUUUAGUAUGCUACAUAAAUGGCAUUAAGGAAAAUCUGCAAUUUAAAUUAUUAUGGAUGUUAUAAUUUAUAUUCAUUUCGUAUAAUGGCAGAUUCAAAGAGAUAUAACAAAGUUCAACAUGCAUAUGGAUAUCUCUAAAAUUAAGCAAUUUGCACUCAUAAUUAUAAAGGCAAAAAAAAAUUUGUUCCUAACAGAACAAUGAAAAUACCAUAUUACAAUUAACAUGACAGGGACUGGA
rnacentral:lncRNA from 1 species